rnacentral:snoRNA from 1 species
UCUGGCUCAGCUCUGCUUGAUCACAUUGGCCCUGUGUGCCUGGCAUAUUUUCAGGGAGAGAGAGGCAGGCUCUCCUAAUGCAGGACAGCAGUGCCGAAGAUGGCCUCUCUGUUCGUAGGAGUGUCACAAAU